UCCUGUGGCGGGUAGGGAUUCAGUUGGGAGGUGCUCUGCAGCGGGGUUAUUCUUGAACCCCCUCCUAGCUUAAUUGCCGGGGGGUGUGGGGCUCGAUGUACCUUUGUGAAGGAGUGCCACCCGACGCAUUUCCCUCGUCCCGUCCGAAGGACGCCGCGACCGGUUGGUGUGUGACGGUCUGGAGGACCCGCUGGCUGGUGGUAUCGGCGGGGGACCCCUCUCGGGGGGUCCUCUUUUCCCCUUCGAGCCCCGGCGGUCUUCGGUCCUGUCGCCCGACCGUGGUGACACGAGACCUGUGUGGGUCUCACCGCCUCCUCCGGCAACGGCCUUCGGGCGCGUGUGCGUGUGGCGCGGGUCUUUGGAGACGCGGUCCGUUUUCUCGAACCGGUGGUCUGGCGCAGGGGUCGCUACCCGGUGGCCAGUUCCGCCGCUAGGGAUCGGUCGCGUCCUUUUAUGUAUUUGUGGAAGCCCGCCGGAGAUGCUGGCGGUCUGCGGCGAGUAGGUCGGUCACCCACCCGACCCGUCUUGAAACACGGACCAAGGAGUCUAACAUGUAUGCGAGUCAAUGGGACUCGACUAAGCCCACAGGCGCAAUGAAAGCAAUUUUUGGUUGGGAUCCCUGCCCCGAAUAGAUGGGCGGGGCGCACCAACGACCCGCCCUACCCAAGGGACCCCCAAUGAAUGUAUUGGCAAGGGGGUCUCUGGGCGGAGUCUGAGCAUACACGUUGGUACCCGAAAGAUGGUGAACUAUGCCCGGGCAGGACGAAGUCAGAGGAAACUCUGGUGGAGGUCCGUCACGGUUCUGACGUGCAAAUCGAUCGUCUGAUCCGGGCCUAGGGGCGAAAGACUAAUCGAACCAUC
rnacentral:rRNA from 1 species